UACGGGGGGGGCAAGCGUUGUUCGGAAUUACCGGGCGUAAAGGGCUUGUAGGUGGCCAACUAAGUCAGACGUGAAAUCCCUCGGCUUAACCUGGGAACUGCGUCUGAUACUGGGAGGCUUGAGUAUGGGAGAGGGAUGUAGAAUUCCAGGUGUAGCGGUGAAAUGCGUAGAUAUCUGGAGGAAUACCGGUGGCGAAGGCGGCAUCCUGGACCAUUACUGACGCUGAGGCGCGAAAGCUAGGGGAGCAAACGGG
rnacentral:rRNA from 1 species